CUACGGGUCGCUGCAGUAAGGAAUAUUGGUCAAUGGACGAAAGUCUGAACCAGCCAUGCCGCGUGGAGGAUGAAGGUCCUCUGGAUUGUAAACUUCUUUUAUCUGGGAAGAAAUCCAUGGUUUCUACUAUGGUUGACGGUACCAGAUGAAUAAGCACCGGCUAACUCCGUGCCAGCAGCCGCGGUAAUACGGAGGGUGCAAGCGUUAUCCGGAUUCACUGGGUUUAAAGGGUGCGUAGGUGGGCAGGUAAGUCAGUGGUGAAAUCUCCGAGCUUAACUCGGAAACUGCCAUUGAUACUAUCUGUCUUGAAUACCCUGGAUGUGAGCGGAAUAUGUCAUGUAGCGGUGAAAUGCUUAGAUAUGACAUAGAACACCAAUUGCGAAGGCAGCUCACUACGGGAAUAUUGACACUGAGGCACGAAAGCGUGGGGAUCAAACAGGAUUAGAUACCCUAGUAGUC
rnacentral:rRNA from 1 species